GUCCCUCUCCAUUUGGGUUUCUCUUCUUCGGUUCCUCCCAAAGUCGGCGGCGUCACCUCUCAUUCUCCUCUCCUCUUCCUCUCUGCGUCUCCUCCAUUAUCCCGCAGGGUGGGAUGGAUUCGGACGAGGGGAAGUUGUUCAUCGGCGGGAUUUCGUGGGAGACCUCCGAGGAGAAGCUCAGGGAACACUUCGGGAACUAUGGGGAGGUCCUCGACGCCACCAUCAUGAGGGAUAAGACCACUGGCCGCCCCAGGGGCUUCGGAUUCGUCGUCUUCGCCGAUCCCUCCGUCCUCGACCGCGUCCUCCAGGACAAACACAACAUCGAUGGCCGCAACGUGGAAGCCAAAAGGGCUCUUUCGAGAGAAGAGCAGCAAACAUCUGUCAGGUCUGGGAACCCCCCUGUCGGGAGAUCAGUGGGAGCAGGUGCUGGUUCAAGCAUCAGGUCCAAAAAGAUAUUCGUUGGAGGGUUGCCACCCACCCUGACUGAAGAUGGAUUUCGUCAGUACUUUGAGGCCUACGGCACUGUAACUGAUGCAGUUGUGAUGUAUGACCAAAAUACCCAUCGCCCUCGAGGCUUUGGGUUCAUCUCUUUUGAUUCAGAGGAUACCGCUGAUGAAGUUCUUCUCAAGCCCUUUCAUGAUAUGAAUGGCAAGCUUGUGGAAGUCAAGCGUGCCCUUCCAAAAGAUGCAAAUCCAAACACUGGUAGCGGCCGAUCAAUGGCCAGUGGGUCGUAUCCGUCAUAUGGUGGUUCUAGUGGUAACUCUAGCUCAUAUGAUGGUAGGCCAGAUGCUAAUAGGUACAUGCAACCUCAAGCAGGAGGCGGUGGAUAUCCAGCCUACGGCUCCUCUGGCUAUGGUGCACCUGGUUAUGGGUUUGGAGCGGCAAAUAAUGGUGUUGGUUAUGCAGGUUAUGGUGUUGGGGGCUAUGGAAAUGCCUCUGGGGGGUACGGUGGACCUCCUGGGACCUAUGCAAAUCCUAAUGCUCCUAAUGCUGGUUAUGUAAGUGGUACCCCAGGUGGUCAAAGGAACCUUUGGGGUAAUCAAGCUCCAGCUGGUUAUGGUUCUGCAAGCUAUGGUGGAAGCACAGCCUAUGGUCCAGCCCCCUCAUGGAAUUCUUCAGCAGCCAGUGGAGGAUCUGGUGCAGCGCCAACCGGCCAAAAUGGGUCCUCUGGUUACAUGAAUCAGGGUUAUGGUUACGGUGCAUAUGGAGGGUCAGAAGGGCCUUAUGGUAACCAAGGUGGCUAUGGGUCUGUUGGUGCACGCGGUAGUGGCGGUUCAGUUACCAAUCCGUCGGGCAACUCAGGUGAACAAGGACCUGGAUCUGCUUACAUGGGUGGUGGGUAUGGAGAUGCUAAUGCAGGUUCGGGUUACCCAAAUGCAUGGAGGUCUGACCCUUCACAGGGAGGGCCGUAUGGAGCAUCUCAUGUGAAUGGGCCCCCUGGUGGUCCAGUGAGUUAUGGAGGUGGUUAUGGUGGUCCACAGGGCAGGCAAGCCCAGCAGCAGUAACUGCAGAAGGAUUUCAGUUCCAACUGGGUAUUCAUGAAUGAGGGUUGGUUUUCUUAUUUAUGCAGCUAAUGCCUCUCUUAUGAGCUUCUUGGGCCAUUGUCUGGCGCAUCGCAAAGAAAAUCAAACUUCAUCCCGGGCGGCGCCGCAUAUGAAAUUGCUUCCCACUCUACCAAAUGAAGCUUCUUGCAGAGUAAGGUGCAAAAGCAUUGAGGAAGCUGUCACAUGCUUGUGGUGUUUAUUGAGCCAGAACACUUAAAAAACAUUGAUGGUUUGAUGUUUCAGUUAUAUGGAGGUCCCUUGGCUCGCAUGAGAUGCUGGUGACCAUUAAGAAUCAUGAAUCUUGCCUUUUGCAAACCGGCCACAGGCUAGCGCUAGUGUCAAUGAUGUUCAAUGCACAGCAGCAUAGUAAACACCUAACUGUGAGUACAAACAACUACUACCUUUACCUCCUUUUCGGCAAAUCAAAAGCCCUCUUCAAGAAUCGGUUCGCGACGUCGUCGUUCCGGUGGCACAACACCCUGAGCACCGUGUUGGGAUCGGAUCGGUGCCACCUGCCGGUCGUCGGCGGCAUCGGCACCCGCUCCAUUGACCUCCCCAGCCCGCUGGCUUCGCAUGCCAUGAUGCUGAACUCCUCGACCAGCUUCUCGGUGGGCAGGCACAUCAGCGACACCACCCCGUCCGACACCGCCGCCUCCUUCUGCACCACCUCCUCCGACAGCAGCCCCUCCCCGCUGGUGCAGAAUACCCGCUUCAGGUUCGCUAUGUCCUCCGCGAUCAUGUCGUGGUCCGUCCUCGCGAAGGCUCGCCCGCUCCCCCCGGCCAACAGCACCAUCAAGAAGGCCUCGAAGGAAGCCUUCAUUAUCUCCUUCACCGCCAGCGGCUGCGCCCGGUCCGUGAGCACCGAGACGAGAAGCGACAGAUUCUGCUUCAGGAUCCGGAGGGUGGGCCGUAUGCGAGCUUCAGCUACGCUGCCGACGUACAGGGAGUCGUAGAAGGACUGGGAUGAGUCGAGGAAGAUGAGGCGGUUAGCGGCGACCUCGGCGACGUGCAGGAUGGCGGCGUGGACGGUGGAGCGGGCCAGGUCGAAGUGGGUGGGGCCGGCGGCUCGCCGCCGCGAUAGCAUGGGAGUGCGAGGAGACGGGGAAGGGCCGGGGCGGGAGAAGAAGGAGAGGGACUUGUCGAUGGAGUGCAGGACGCCGAGGAGGUAGUGCAGGGUGUUUAGGCGCACGUAGAGUCGCUGGGUGCCGCGGCUGGCGGUGGGGCGCGGGUGGUUGGUGAUGUCGCCCGCACCGCCAGGCAUGCGCACCGGGUGGAAGCUGCGACGGUCUAUUCCCGCUUUGCAUGGAGCGUGGAGGAGGCCAGGGUCGAUGCCUGCUUUGCAUGGGGUGGCUGCCUUCUUCCAUAGUUGCAGGACCAUGGAGUCCUGGUUGCACCUCGUUAGCUGCGGGAGCGCCGGGAUGUAGCUCUGCUUCGAACCUGCAGUAGAGCGUUCGGUGACCGUGAUCAUACUCUAAUUGUCCCGUCAGAACAAAGAAGCCAUUACAUACCACAUGAUGCAACAAAAGAGAUGUAGUCCUGGAACAGAGAAUCCAAGCCAUCUGCAAGCUUCUGCACCAGUUCAUCCCUUCCUCCCACUUGGAUCUCGAAGAACUCGUCCACCGUCACCUUGGCCAGCUUCAUCAGAUCCACUGCAGACUGUGCGUAUGGCUCUGACUUGGACUUGGGGUUCCAAGUCUGUUGCAUCGCAAAAUUAACAUGUAUUGGUGUCAGAUGCACUCUACAGGGAGAUUCUUGAUGAUAACCAUGAACCACUUACCUCUGUCUCUUUAGCUCUGAAUACACACUCCCUUCCCA